CCUGGGCGGGGCGGGGCCGCACCUGAGGCGGGCGGGGGUGCGCAGUGCGGCGGUGGCCAUGGCGGGAGCGGUGCGGUGGGGCGGCCCCGGGCCCCGGCCCCUGCUGCUGCUGCUGCUGCUGCUGCUGCUCGUGUCACUCGUGGGAGCCCAGGUCACCUCUGAGACCAAAGAAGUGCCUGAAAACAAGCCCGCCGACAUCCCCUGCUCAGCGUAUCGGUCCAGCUGGAACAACCCCCGCAUCGAGUGGAAGUUCCAGAAGGGCUCCUCGCUGGUCCUCUUCUACUACGGGGGAGAGCUGACGGAACCGUACAAGAACCGGGUCCAGUUCUCGCCCACCACCAUCCACUUCAGCACGGUGACGCGGCAGGACACGGGGAAGUACAUCUGCGAGGUGGUGGGGGACAGCAGCCAGAUCGCCAAGUCGGAGGUGAACCUCAUCGUCCAAGUGCCGCCCUCCAAGCCGGUGGCCCACGUGCCCACCUCGGCCACCAUCGGCAGCAAGGCCGUGCUGCGCUGCACCGAGACGGACGGCUCGCCGCCCCCCACCUUCCGCUGGUACAAGGACAGCAUGCUGAUGCCCACCGACCCCAAAACCAGCCUGACCUUCAGGAACUCUUCCUACACCCUGGACCCCGCCACGGGGGAGCUGAUCUUUGAGCCCCUGAGCGGCUUCGACACCGGUGACUACUACUGCGAGGCGACGAACAACGUGGGCUCCCCCCAGAAAUCCGACGUUAUCCACAUGGAAGCCAGUGAGGUCAACGUCGGCGGCAUCGUGGCCGCGGUCGUGGUGCUGCUGAUGGUGCUGGCGCUCGCAGCCUUUGGCGUCUGGUUCGCCUACAGCCGGGGCUACUUCAGCAAGAGAAAAGAGUAAGUGAAGCCGUAACACCGCUGCCUCCCUCCCGGCUGCCUCCUGUUCCUCCGCCAGCGGGGACGGGUGGUCUCUUCCUCCCCCAGCCCCUGCCCGUGGGCUGGGAAGGUGCCUCGGGUGUCACCGGGUGCUCAGGGUGGGGACGGGAUGGGGGGGGGUCGCUCCGGGCAGCGCGAUGUCUCCUAACGCCUUGGCUUUCUGCAGCGCCGCCGGCAAGAAGGUGAUUUACAGCCAGCCCUCGCACCGCAGCGAAGGAGAGUUCAAGCAGACGUCGUCCUUCCUGGUGUGACCCUGCUCCCGCGCCGCCACCUCUUGUACAUGUUCCCGAAUUACUGUAGCUACGCCGUGAUUUUAACUAUUAUUUUUUUUAAGCGUCACUCGGUGCCUUUGCAGUCACCUCAGAUGGUUUUGGGGGGGGGGGGAGGUCUCCUGUCCCCCCCCACCUUGUCCCCUCCCCAGCAGGAGCCGGGUCGUGGCUGUGUCCCUGCGCAGGGACUGCCGCCCUUUGGGGAUGGGGGGGGUCCUCCGCCGGGGCUGCUGUAACCCCACAACCCCCCCCAGCUGUCCUGGGGGGUGGGAGCCCAUCUCCCCAGCACCAGUCCCAGCUGCCUACUGGUCCCAGUUGUCCCCCCAUACUGGGGGGGGGGCUGGACUGGGCCUGCGAGCGCUGCUGGAAAUAAAUAAACCUGUGUCCUUGUA